rnacentral:rRNA from 1 species
AUUGAACGCUGGCGGCAUGCCUUACACAUGCAAGUCGAACGGCAGCACGGACUUCGGUCUGGUGGCGAGUGGCGAACGGGUGAGUAAUGUAUCGGAACGUACCUUUCAGUGGGGGAUAGCGUAGCGAAAGUUACGCUAAUACCGCAUAUUCUGUGAGCAGGAAAGCAGGGGAUCGCAAGACCUUGCGCUGAUUGAGCGGCCGAUAUCAGAUUAGCUAGUUGGUGGGGUAAAGGCCUACCAAGGCUACGAUCUGUAGCGGGUCUGAGAGGAUGAUCCGCCACACUGGAACUGAGACACGGUCCAGACUCCUACGGGAGGCAGCAGUGGGGAAUUUUGGACAAUGGGGGCAACCCUGAUCCAGCCAUGCCGCGUGAGUGAAGAAGGCCUUCGGGUUGUAAAGCUCUUUCGGCCGGGAAGAAAUCGCAUAGGCUAAUACCCUGUGUGGAUGACGGUACCGGAAUAAGAAGCACCGGCUAACUACGUG